GGCCAGGGCAAUGACGGGCUUACGAAGCGUGUCAGGUCUGGAAGGAAGCAGCACUAAGUUUGUGCCGUCAUGUGCCUGUAUGAA
rnacentral:SRP_RNA from 1 species